CGGGCGGCAGACAGAGAGCUGGAGCACGGCCUCUGUGUUCACGCCGGUUACCUUCAUGAUGGAUCGCCGAGCACGCCCCUAGAUGGACUGCGUAGCCGGUCAUUCCAGUCUGCUGUUCGAUAGUUACUUUGUACCUUUGGACUUAAUCUACGUGGAACGGAAAUAUCACUAAGGAUUGAAAUGGAAACCUGGAGAGGUUGAUGGCCCCUGUGCUCACACAACCAACUGAAAAUCCCGGGCAGCUACAACAAGGCUGAAUUCUAUCCAUCAGAAGUGAACGAGACAGAAGAGUUAACUUCCUGCAUCAUUUUCACCCCUAGGUGAUGAAGACUGACCAGUUAGACUGGUCACUGGCGUCCACCAUAAAGAUGGCCACAACAAAUACAACCAGCCCCACUAUAGAUAAUUUGAUGGAAAACGACCACCACUGGCAACACGAGACUGGAAGUACAGACACUUGGAUUUAGGCUCCUGCCAAUGACACGGAAUACGAUCUCAAGUUACUCACUUGGCCUUUCCGAGCCCCAGUCUCCACUUCUGUCAAUUGUAGUUGGGACAAGAUCUGGCGCUGUGAGGAGACGAGGUCCUGGCGGAGAGGCUGGAAGCACACGGAGGGGUUCUGACACCAGGGCCUGCUUGCACUACUCAGAGGGAAGAAUGAAAAGGGACAUAAAUCAGGAGGAAGGACGAAUGGAAUCUGAGGUGUUCGGGGGCAGAAGACGGGAGUUUGCUUCAGAAACUCGAAUGAAAUAGAAUCUGACAUAGAUCUUCUGAAUCCGACAAUCUGGGCUUGCAGCUUGGCCGUGCCCCACGGCUUCAGACAACCUCCUCCAACGCUGAG
rnacentral:lncRNA from 1 species